AACUAUUACCAAGGUAAGCAGUAGGAAAGAAAUAGCUAAGAAUUGGAGGCAAAAUGAUGUGGAUUUGGAGAAAUUUGAAGCUCACUUGCUCCCUGCAAGUUCAAGAUCAUCCUUUCCCACACAG
ensembl:snoRNA